GAUGAACGCUGGCGGCGUGCCUAAUACAUGCAAGUCGAGCGAACAGAUGAGGAGCUUGCUCCUCUGACGUUAGCGGCGGACGGGUGAGUAACACGUGGAUAACCUACCUAUAAGACUGGGAUAACUUCGGGAAACCGGAGCUAAUACCGGAUAAUAUCUUGAACCGCAUGGUUCAAUAGUGAAAGACGGUUUUGCUGUCACUUAUAGAUGGAUCCGCGCCGCAUGAGAUAGUUGGUAAGGUAACGGCUUACCAAGGCAACGAUGCGUAGCCGACCUGAGAGGGGGAUCGGCCACACUGGAACUGAGACACGGUCCAGACUCCUACGGGAGGCAGCAGUAGGGAAUCUUACGCAAUGGGCGAAAGCCUGACGGAGCAACGCCGAGUGAGUGAUGAAGGUCUUCGGAGCGUAAAACUCUGUUAUUAGGGAAGAACAAAUGUGUAAGUAACUAUGCACGUCUUGACGGUACCUAAUCAGAAAGCCACGGCUAACUACGUG
rnacentral:rRNA from 1 species